UGCACUUUCACAAACCUUAGCCGCCACCGUCGUCACCGCCCCCACCUCCGUUUGCUGCGUUUGUGUUUUCGUCAACCUCCGCCGCCCAUCGGUUUCUUUCUUCGAUCGUCUUCCGUCGCAUCCUUCAGUCGUGCAGCAAUGCUGUCGAUCGAGCCAGUUCUUCGUCGCGCAACCAAACGUUAAAGCCGAAUGCUAGCUAGCCGUUAAUUGUAAGUCAAGUCGUCAGCUGCUGUUCGGGUCUUCGUCAAGUCACUCGAGCCGCUUCCAAUCUUAGAUCCAAGUCGCGUAACUCGAGCCGCACGUGGAGACGAGUGAGCCGAGUUCCUGGUCAGCGAGCCGUCCUUUGGUAGAGGGGUAGAACAUGUGAACAUGUGGGAGGAGACAUGUUUCAGAAUGUUCCAAAUGGAGAUGGUAUUUUCACGAAGUCGUCAUCAUCAACAUACUACUAGUCAUAAACAGAAUACCGGUCAUCAUCAUCAACAUACUACCAGUCAUUAGCAUAGACGUGGAAGCAAAACUGAGUCCCCAUAUGACAUGCCACAGAUCCUUAUCUGUCACUCGUCAGGUAUGUAUUUUAUGAUACUGUAACGACCCAACUCUUUAUAUUCUAGCUCCAAUCCUUAA